ensembl:lncRNA
ACAAAAUAAUUGUUCGCUACAAUCAAGCAUGGCACGUUGUUGACGGAAGACGCACUGCACACGUGAUUGACGCAUAGAGUGAAAGGACAGCUCAAGCAUCUAUCCGUAGCCACUUGCCGCACUCGAGGGAUUGCAUUCCUCUUCAAUGAAACUCCUUUUGGGUUCUUUGGGUCAGCAGCUCUUUUGGGAAUGAUGAUGUUGUCCUUACCAAAAUGAGCACUGCAGACACGCCGGGGAAAACACCAACACGAACCAUCUCUCUCUUGACUUCAAGCUGUGGAUGGUUCGUCUUCUCCGGUGCUUGAGCUGUCCUUCACUCUAUGCGUCAAUCACGUGUGCAGUGCGUCUUCCGUCAACAACGUGCCAUGCUUGAUUGUAGCGAACAAUUAUUUUGUAACUGUAACUUACAUAUGCAAUUCUUUUAAUUUACGUGUCAACACUUGCUAUAUAUUAUUUAUAAAUAUAUAUUAUAUAAAUUAUAAAUCCCAAAACUUUCCUCCUUGAACUGAACUCCGGCGCAUUCGGCAAUCGACUUGUGUGGACUUCCUGUAAACACGGACCUACCGAUUCUUUGGUCGUAAUAGCAGUCAACCAGGAUGCAGAACAAUCCCACGCAUUCAAUGCAGCUGAACCAACACAAGCCCUCACAAAUCAUCAAAACCUGUUACAGAGUCCCGGGGAUGACCUGACAUUAUCACAGCUAAUCUCGGAAACCUUUCAUACACCUGCCACAUCCAGAAGCAACACAGAGGACAUGGUCUCCCUUCAGCGUCAGCUUUUGGAGGAAGUUAAAAUGCUGAGGCAUACUCAGGAGCAACUUCUGCAGGUGGAGAGGGAAAAGCUGCUCGUCGAGAGGGAGAAGCUUCGCCUUGCCCAAGCCAAGUUUGAUUUAAAAAAAAAAGAGUGUUGAACCUAGA